GAUGAACGCUGGCGGCGUGCUUAACACAUGCAAGUCGGACGAAGCAUUUGCGACAGAUUUUUUCGGAAUGAAGUUGCUUAUGACUGAGUGGCGGACGGGUGAGUAACGCGUGGGUAACCUGCCUUGUACUGGGGGAUAGCAGCUGGAAACGGCUGGUAAUACCGCAUAAGCGCACAAUGUUGCAUGACAUGGUGUGAAAAACUCCGGUGGUAUAAGAUGGACCCGCGUCUGAUUAGCUAGUUGGUGAGAUAACAGCCCACCAAGGCGACGAUCAGUAGCCGACCUGAGAGGGUGACCGGCCACAUUGGGACUGAGACACGGCCCAGACUCCUACGGGAGGCAGCAGUGGGGAAUAUUGCACAAUGGAGGAAACUCUGAUGCAGCGACGCCGCGUGAGUGAAGAAGUAAUUCGUGAUGUAAAGCUCUAUCAGCAGGGAAGAUAGUGACGGUACCUGACGAAGAAGCUCCGGCUAAAUACGUG
rnacentral:rRNA from 1 species